rnacentral:rRNA from 1 species
UACAGAGGGUGCGAGCGUUGUCCGGAAUCACUGGGCGUAAAGGGCGCGUAGGUGGCGACCCAAGUCCGUGGUGAAAGCUCGCCGCUCAACGGCGAGUCGGCCACGGAUACUGGGUUGCUUGAGCACUGUAGAGGCAGAUGGAAUUCCGGGUGUAGCGGUGGAAUGCGUAGAGAUCCGGAAGAACACCGGUGGCGAAGGCGGUCUGCUGGGCAGUUGCUGACACUGAGGCGCGACAGCGUGGGGAGCAAACAGG